UAUGUGAUCGUCUCUCGCAUAUCAAUAAGCGGAGGAAAAGAACCUAACAAGGAUUCCCCUAGUAACGGCGAGUGAAGCGGGAAGAGCUCAAAUUUGAAAUCUUAAAGGGUUUCCCUUUACGAAUUGUAGUUUAAAGAAGUGUUUUCUGUUGAGGUUUUGGUAAAAGUUCUUUGGAAUAGGACAUCAUAGAGGGUGAGAAUCCCGUAUUUGACCUUUACUUUCAACUUUGUGAUACACUUUCAAAGAGUCGGAUUGUUUGGGAAUGCAGUCCAAAAUGGGUGGUAAAUUUCAUCUAAAGCUAAAUAUUGGCGAGAGACCGAUAGCGAACAAGUACCGUGAGGGAAAGAUGAAAAGAACUUUGAAAAGAGAGUUAAACAGUACGUGAAAUUGUCAAAAGGGAAGCGUUUGACACCAGUGUUGUUUUUCUGAAAAUCAAUUAAAGAACUGUUUAUGCUAAGUUGUUUAGACAUUUAUCAGCUAACUGUUUAGUUUUGAGCUUUUCUUUAAUGCACUUUUCAGUUAACAAGUCAACAUCAAUUUCUUUUGCUGUAAAAAAGCUUGAGGAAGGUGGCUUGAGAUUCGUCUUAAGUGUUUAUAGCCUCUUGCCUAUGCAGUCGGAGAGAUUGAGGUCUGCAGCGUAGAUCCUUCGGGGCUAAAUGCAUUGUGCUAAGUUAUAGCAUUUUAUAGACAACUUGUUGACUAUGAUUUGUCUUGUAGCUUACUCGCUUAUGUUAUUUUACCUACGCUUAGGAUGUUGACUGAUAUGUAGUCGUA
rnacentral:rRNA from 1 species